UACGUAGGGCGCAAGCGUUGUCCGGAAUUAUUGGGCGUAAAGAGCUCGUAGGUGGCUUGUCGCGUCUGCCGUGAAAGCCCGUGGCUUAACUACGGGUCUGCGGUGGAUACGGGCAGGCUAGAGGCUGGUAGGGGCAAGCGGAAUUCCUGGUGUAGCGGUGAAAUGCGCAGAUAUCUGGAGGAACACCGGUGGCGAAGGCGGCAUCCUGGACCGAUAUUGACGCUGAGGAGCGAAAGCCAGGGGAGCAAACGGG
rnacentral:rRNA from 1 species